rnacentral:rRNA from 1 species
UACAGAGGUGGCAAGCGUUGUUCGGAAUUACUGGGCGUAAAGGGCGCGUAGGCGGCUUGGUCAGUCCCGUGUGAAAUCCCUCGGCUCAACUGAGGAACUGCACGGGAAACUGCCUGGGCUUGAGUUCGGGAGAGGGAAGCGGAAUUCCGGGUGUAGCGGUGGAAAUGCGUAGAUAUCCGGAGGAACACCGGUGGCGAAGGCGGCUUCCUGGACCGACACUGACGCUGAGGCGCGAAAGCUAGGGGAGCAAACGGG